rnacentral:rRNA from 1 species
AUGCUUUUCCUAAAGAUUAAGCCAUGCAUGCCUAAGACUAUGGGGAAGCAAUUCUCUCUGAAUCUGCGAACGGCUCCGCAAACCAGUUGUAAACCAUAGCAGUGUUCCGCCCGGCUUCAGCAAUGGGGUCGGGCAUUAUAUGGAUAACCGUGGUAAUUCUGAGGCUAACACAUGACACACCAACUCGGCGGGCUGGGGCAACCGGCUUGCUGGGUGACGUGCGAAUCAGCAAUGCUAUAACGAACAUCGGGAAUGAGCG